UACCUUCCUUCUAAGGAAGAUAUUUAUGGAACGAGGAUUCAUGUUGAUAAUUUCCCAAUCUUCACUAAGAUUGUGGAAUUGGAAGUUGUUAAGCCAUAUUACCUUCCUUUUUUUUUACUAUUAUUAUUAUUUAUUUUUUUGUCUAUGUCUUUUUUAUCAAUGACAAAGGGGGAGAAACAUUAUUGACUUUGAUAUACCUAUGUUUGUG
rnacentral:lncRNA from 1 species